UAUCUAAAGGCUUAUUAGAUCUGAAAAUUGAAUGAUCAUGCAUGCUGAAAAUUUCUGCAUGCGGAUUUUUCGGGGGUGCUGAUUUUUGCAUGCUGAUUUUUAUGUGAUAAAAUGAUGAUUCUAAUUGCAUUGUUAAUGAGAUUACAAAGUUUAUAAUCAUGAUUAGCAUGAUCAGCAACCUAUGUCAUGACAUAAUCAGUUAGUUUUCAGAUCUGAAAAUUAUAAUUGUUGCAUAUGGUGAUGAUCAUAGGAUUCAAACCCUUUUGGUAUCAAAUGUAAUGACCUGCGAUGUGAUCUGCGAUGUCAUAUAAUUUUUCAGAUGCUUGCAUGCAUCUUAUUUGAUGUUUUGAGAGGCCUGC
rnacentral:lncRNA from 1 species